rnacentral:rRNA from 1 species
GGGUUGUGAGGUUAAGCGACUAAGCGUACACGGUGGAUGCCCUGGCAGUCAGAGGCGAUGAAGGACGUGCUAAUCUGCGAUAAGCGCCGGUAAGGUGAUAUGAACCGUUAUAACCGGCGAUUUCCGAAUGGGGAAACCCAGUGUGUUUCGACACACUAUCAUUACGUGAAUACAUAGCGUAAUGAAGCGAACCGGGGGAACUGAAACAUCUAAGUACCCCGAGGAAAAGAAAUCAACCGAGAUUCCCCCAGUAGCGGCGAGCGAACGGGGAGGAGCCCAGAGCCUGAAUCAGCAUGUGUGUUAGUGGAAGCGUCUGGAAAGGCGCGCGAUACAGGGUGACAGCCCCGUACACAAAAGCGCAUGUGCUGUGAGCUCGAUGAGUAGGGCGGGACACGUGGUAUCCUGUCUGAAUAUGGGGGGACCAUCCUCCAAGGCUAAAUACUCCUGACUGACCGAUAGUGAACCAGUACCGUGAGGGAAAGGCGAAAAGAACCCCGGCGAGGGGAGUGAAAAAGAACCUGAAACCGUGUACGUACAAGCAGUGGGAGCACAGGUUUACCUGUGUGACUGCGUACCUUUUGUAUAAUGGGUCAGCGACUUAUAUUCUGUAGCAAGGUUAACCGAAUAGGGGAGCCGGAGGGAAACCGAGUCUUAACCGGGCGUUAAGUUGCAGGGUAUAGACCCGAAACCCGGUGAUCUAGCCAUGGGCAGGUUGAAGGUUGGGUAACACUAACUGGAGGACCGAACCGACUAAUGUUGAAAAAUUAGCGGAUGACCUGUGGCUGGGGGUGAAAGGCCAAUCAAACCGGGAGAUAGCUGGUUCUCCCCGAAAGCUAUUUAGGUAGCGCCUCGUGAAUUCAUCUCCGGGGGUAGAGCACUGUUUCGGCUAGGGGGCCAUCCCGGCUUACCAACCCGAUGCAAACUGCGAAUACCGGAGAAUGUUAUCACGGGAGACACACGGCGGGUGCUAACGUCCGUCGUGAAGAGGGAAACAACCCAGACCGCCAGCUAAGGUCCCAAAGUCAUGGUUAAGUGGGAAACGAUGUGGGAAGGCCCAGACAGCCAGGAUGUUGGCUUAGAAGCAGCCAUCAUUUAAAGAAAGCGUAAUAGCUCACUGGUCGAGUCGGCCUGCGCGGAAGAUGUAACGGGGCUAAACCAUGCACCGAAGCUGCGGCAGCGACACUGUGUGUUGUUGGGUAGGGGAGCGUUCUGUAAGCCUGUGAAGGUGGCCUGUGAGGGUUGCUGGAGGUAUCAGAAGUGCGAAUGCUGACAUAAGUAACGAUAAAGCGGGUGAAAAGCCCGCUCGCCGGAAGACCAAGGGUUCCUGUCCAACGUUAAUCGGGGCAGGGUGAGUCGACCCCUAAGGCGAGGCCGAAAGGCGUAGUCGAUGGGAAACGGGUUAAUAUUCCCGUACUUGGUGUUACUGCGAAGGGGGACGGAGAAGGCUAUGUUGGCCGGGCGACGGUUGUCCCGGUUUAAGCGUGUAGGUGUGUGUUCCAGGUAAAUCCGGUUCACUUUAACACUGAGGCGUGACGACGAGGCACUACGGUGCUGAAGCAACAAAUGCCCUGCUUCCAGGAAAAGCCUCUAAGCAUCAGGUAACAUCAAAUCGUACCCCAAACCGACACAGGUGGUCAGGUAGAGAAUACCAAGGCGCUUGAGAGAACUCGGGUGAAGGAACUAGGCAAAAUGGUGCCGUAACUUCGGGAGAAGGCACGCUGACACGUAGGUGAAGUGAUUUACUCAUGGAGCUGAAGUCAGUCGAAGAUACCAGCUGGCUGCAACUGUUUAUUAAAAACACAGCACUGUGCAAACACGAAAGUGGACGUAUACGGUGUGACGCCUGCCCGGUGCCGGAAGGUUAAUUGAUGGGGUCAGCGCAAGCGAAGCUCCUGAUCGAAGCCCCGGUAAACGGCGGCCGUAACUAUAACGGUCCUAAGGUAGCGAAAUUCCUUGUCGGGUAAGUUCCGACCUGCACGAAUGGCGUAAUGAUGGCCAGGCUGUCUCCACCCGAGACUCAGUGAAAUUGAACUCGCUGUGAAGAUGCAGUGUACCCGCGGCAAGACGGAAAGACCCCGUGAACCUUUACUAUAGCUUGACACUGAACAUUGAGCCUUGAUGUGUAGGAUAGGUGGGAGGCUUUGAAGUGUGGACGCCAGUCUGCAUGGAGCCGACCUUGAAAUACCACCCUUUAAUGUUUGAUGUUCUAACGUGGACCCGUUACCCGGGUUGCGGACAGUGUCUGGUGGGUAGUUUGACUGGGGCGGUCUCCUCCUAAAGAGUAACGGAGGAGCACGAAGGUUGGCUAAUCCUGGUCGGACAUCAGGAGGUUAGUGCAAUGGCAUAAGCCAGCUUGACUGCGAGCGUGACGGCGCGAGCAGGUGCGAAAGCAGGUCAUAGUGAUCCGGUGGUUCUGAAUGGAAGGGCCAUCGCUCAACGGAUAAAAGGUACUCCGGGGAUAACAGGCUGAUACCGCCCAAGAGUUCAUAUCGACGGCGGUGUUUGGCACCUCGAUGUCGGCUCAUCACAUCCUGGGGCUGAAGUAGGUCCCAAGGGUAUGGCUGUUCGCCAUUUAAAGUGGUACGCGAGCUGGGUUUAGAACGUCGUGAGACAGUUCGGUCCCUAUCUGCCGUGGGCGCUGGAGAAUUGAGGGGGGCUGCUCCUAGUACGAGAGGACCGGAGUGGACGCAUCACUGGUGUUCGGGUUGUCAUGCCAAUGGCACUGCCCGGUAGCUAAAUGCGGAAGAGAUAAGUGCUGAAAGCAUCUAAGCACGAAACUUGCCCGAGAUGAGUUCUCCCUGAGACUUUAAGUCUCCUGAAGGAACGUUGAAGACGACGACGUUGAUAGGCCGGGUGUGUAAGCGCAGCGAUGCGUUGAGCUAACCGGUACUAAUGAACCGUGAGGCUUAACCUUACAACGCCGAAG